rnacentral:pre_miRNA from 1 species
CACAUACUCCCUCCGUCCUAUAUUAAGUGACUCAAAUUUGUCCAAAUAUGGAUAUAUCUAUAUCUAAAAAGUGUCUAGAUGCAUGUAAUAGAAAGUCACUUAAUAUGGGACGGAGGGAGUAUUUA